GGGUGAGUAACACGUAGGCAACCUGCCUGCAAGACUGGGAUAACUACCGGAAACGGUAGCUAAUACCGGAUACGCAAGAGAGUCGCAUGAUUUUCUUGGGAAAGACGGAGCAAUCUGUCACUUGCGGAUGGGCCUGCGGCGCAUUAGCUAGUUGGUGAGGUAACGGCUCACCAAGGCGACGAUGCGUAGCCGACCUGAGAGGGUGAACGGCCACACUGGGACUGAGACACGGCCCAGACUCCUACGGGAGGCAGCAGUAGGGAAUCUUCCGCAAUGGACGAAAGUCUGACGGAGCAACGCCGCGUGAGUGAUGAAGGUUUUCGGAUCGUAAAGCUCUGUUGCCAGGGAAGAACGUCGGGUAGAGUAACUGCUAUCCGAGUGACGGUACCUGAGAAGAAAGCCCCGGCUAACUACGUGCCAGCAGCCGCGGUAAUACGUAGGGGGCAAGCGUUGUCCGGAAUUAUUGGGC
rnacentral:rRNA from 1 species